UACGGGGGGAGCAAGCGUUGUUCGGAUUUACUGGGCGUAAAGGGCGCGUAGGCGGCCACCGCAAGUCGGUUGUGAAAUCUCUGGGCUUAACCCAGAAAGGUCAACCGAUACUGCGGGGCUAGAGUGCAGAAGGGGCAACUGGAAUUCUCGGUGUAGCGGUGAAAUGCGUAGAUAUCAGGAAGAACACCUAUGGCGAAGGCAGCUCUCUGGGACGGUACUGACGCUGAGACGCGAAAGCGUGGGGAGCGAACAGG
rnacentral:rRNA from 1 species